rnacentral:rRNA from 1 species
AGUGAACGCUGGCGGUAGGCCUAACACAUGCAAGUCGAACGGCAGCACAGUAAGAGCUUGCUCUUACGGGUGGCGAGUGGCGGACGGGUGAGGAAUACAUCGGAAUCUACUUUUUCGUGGGGGAUAACGUAGGGAAACUUACGCUAAUACCGCAUACGACCUACGGUUGAAAGCAGGGGAUCUUCGGACCUUGCGCGAUUGAAUGAGCCGAUGUCGGAUUAGCUAGUUGGCGGGGUAAAGGCCCACCAAGGCGACGAUCCGUAGCUGGUCUGAGAGGAUGAUCAGCCACACUGGAACUGAGACACGGUCCAGACUCCUACGGGAGGCAGCAGUGGGGAAUAUUGGACAAAGGGCGCAAGCCUGAUCCAGCCAUACCGCGUGGGUGAAGAAGGCCUUCGGGUUGUAAAGCCCUUUUGUUGGGAAAGAAAAGCAGCAGGUUAAUACCCCGCUGUUCUGACGGUACCCAAAGAAUAAGCACCGGCUAACUUCGUG